UACGAAGGGGGCUAGCGUUGUUCGGAAUUACUGGGCGUAAAGCGUGCGCAGGCGGUGCACCAAGCUCGAUGUGAAAGCCCCGGGCUUAACCUGGGAAUUGCAUUGAGGACUGGUGUGCUCGAGUGCGGCAGAGGGGGGUGGAAUUCCACGUGUAGCAGUGAAAUGCGUAGAGAUGUGGAGGAACACCGAUGGCGAAGGCAGCCCCCUGGGCCGACACUGACGCUCAUGCACGAAAGCGUGGGGAGCAAACAGG
rnacentral:rRNA from 1 species